rnacentral:rRNA from 1 species
GGGGGAUUUUCCGCAAUGGGCGAAAGCCUGACGGAGCAAUACCGCGUGAGGGAGGAAGGCUCUUGGGUCGUAAACCUCUUUUAUCAGGGAAGAACACAAUGACGGUACCUGAUGAAUCAGCAUCGGCUAACUCCGUGCCAGCAGCCGCGGUAAUACGGAGGAUGCAAGCGUUAUCCGGAAUUAUUGGGCGUAAAGCGUUCGCAGGUGGUUUUGAAAGUUUGCUGUCAAAGCGCGAGGCUCAACUUCGUAUCGGCGGUGAAAACUUCAAGACUAGAGCUAGGUAGGGGUCACGGGAAUUCCCAGUGUAGCGGUGAAAUGCGUAGAUAUUGGGAAGAACACCAGCGGCGAAAGCGCGUGACUGGGCCUGAGCUGACACUCAUGGACGAAAGCUAGGGGAGCGAAAGGGAUUAGAUACCCCUGUAGUCCUAGCCGUAAACGAUGACAACUAGGUGUUGCCCGUAUCGACCCGGGCAGUGCCGUAGCCAACGCGUUAAGUUGUCCGCCUGGGGAGUACGCACGCAAGUGUGAAACUCAAAGGAAUUGACGGGGGCCCGCACAAGCGGUGGAGUAUGUGGUUUAAUUCGAUGCAACGCGAAGAACCUUACCAAGGCUUGACAUGUCGCGAAUCUCUGUGAAAGUAGAGAGUGCCUUCGGGAGCGCGAACACAGGUGGUGCAUGGCUGUCGUCAGCUCGUGUCGUGAGAUGUUGGGUUAAGUCCCGCAACGAGCGCAACCCUCGUUUCUAGUUGCCAUCAUUGAGUUGGGCACUUUAGAGAGACUGCCGGUGACAAACCGGAGGAAGGUGGGGAUGACGUCAAGUCAGCAUGCCCCUUACGCCUUGGGCUACACACGUACUACAAUGCUACGGACAAAGAGCCGCAAGUUCGCGAGGACAAGCAAAUCUCAUGAACCGUGGCUCAGUUCAGAUUGCAGGCUGCAACUCGCCUGCAUGAAGGCGGAAUCGCUAGUAAUCGCAGGUCAGCAUACUGCGGUGAAUACGUUCCCGGGCCUUGUACACACCGCCCGUCACACCAUGGGAGUUGGCCACGCCCGAAGUCGUUACUCCAACCGUUCGCGGAGGAGGAUGCCGAAGGCAGGGCUGAUGACUGGGGUGAAGUCGUAACAAGGUAGCCGUACCGGAAGGUGUGGCUGGAUCACCUCCU